rnacentral:lncRNA from 1 species
UGAAAUUAAGAAGCACUACCUGAAAAAGUUCAAAGCAUUCACAGAUGAACUAAAGAAUGCAUUCAUCGAUGGCUUGAAGGCCCAUCUGGAGGGUGUGACUAACAGAGGAUGCUGAGGAUGGGGAAUACGGAUGAUGACUGGAAUUUGGGUGGAAAUAUUGUUUCAAGGCAUGUCACUCGGGGUGUGAGGACAAGUAAGCCGAGAGCAUCGAGAAAGACACCGGUGAUUGAAAAUGUUGAAGUGUGCGUGUUUAGGCUGGAGGAGUCGAUCAAGGACAUCAUUGAUUUUGUGAAAGAGGAGAGACUGAAGAGAGCAGAAAAGGAGAACUAAAAGAAGAGAGAUGAAGCUGAAGGUAAAAUCUGCUCUAUAUAUUAUAGAAGUUGUACAUUUUAUAUAAUCCCUUUUACUUAUAAAUAGAAUCUAUACCAUUCUUCAUCAACCGAUAUCUUAGUGUAUUAUAAACAGUAAAUACUUGAAAAUGCAGGUGUGCAGGUGCCAAGUCGGCAUUCAACGGCGAGGACUUUCCAUGAUGACAGCAGCAUUAAAGAAGCGCUCCUUAAGAUAGCAUCUUUGGAAUAGUCCUCCAUCAAUGCUGAUGAGGUGAUGAUCCCUGAGGUUGUAUCUGUUGUAGAGAAGAAAAAUCUCGAUGAAGGCGAUGAAGAAAAAGAAAAAGAAAAAAAUGAAGAAGAUGUUUGUGAAGAAGAAAACAAAGUUGAUAGAUUAGAUGGUGUGGAGAAGGGGGAUCUUGACGAAAGUAGGCAGGAUGAAGAUGAUAAAAAAUGAAAAAAGUUGUUGUGAAGAAGAAAAAAUGAAGGAGAUGGAGAGAAAAUAGAAGAUAAGAAAAUAGAAGAUAAGAAUGCACAAGAAGUAAAGAAAGAAGAGGGAGAAGAAGAGCAUAAAGAAGAAGGAAAAAAUGAUGUACCAGAGAAACAGAAGGCAUUGUGGAGAAAGAAAACGAGAAUGAAUUUCCAAACUUGGAUGAAUUUCUUAAUGUAGUUACUCAGGACAUAGACAAGAUGCAAGUGAAAGACGAAAAUAUUGAAUGUUUAGACAAUGUUUAAUUUUUAUUUGUGGCUGAUGAUUAUUUUUAUUAGACUAGACAAUCUUAAAUUUUAACUUUCAG